AGUCGAGCGAACUGAUUAGAAGCUUGCUUCUAUGACGUUAGCGGCGGACGGGUGAGUAACACGUGGGCAACCUGCCUGUAAGACUGGGAUAACUUCGGGAAACCGAAGCUAAUACCGGAUAGGAUCUUCUCCUUCAUGGGAGAUGAUUGAAAGAUGGUUUCGGCUAUCACUUACAGAUGGGCCCGCGGUGCAUUAGCUAGUUGGUGAGGUAACGGCUCACCAAGGCAACGAUGCAUAGCCGACCUGAGAGGGUGAUCGGCCACACUGGGACUGAGACACGGCCCAGACUCCUACGGGAGGCAGCAGUAGGGAAUCUUCCGCAAUGGACGAAAGUCUGACGGAGCAACGCCGCGUGAGUGAUGAAGGCUUUCGGGUCGUAAAACUCUGUUGUUAGGGAAGAACAAGUACGAGAGUAACUGCUCGUACCUUGACGGUACCUAACCAGAAAGCCACGGCUAACUACGUGCCAGCAGCCGCGGU
rnacentral:rRNA from 1 species